rnacentral:lncRNA from 1 species
UAAACGUGUGAAUUUCUGAUUGCAGUUAAACUAGGACCACGAUUUACAAACUAAAAGGGACAGUUUGGAAUGAGUAGCUUACCUCAAAACUCUGAAGCGACUCAGUUUCCACUGGAGCAAUCGACAAUUCAAACAUGACGUGCUUCACUGGUGGAGAGAUGGGCAGCUCAACCAUGAUGGGUUUCACUGGUGGAGAGAUGGGCAGCUCAACCACAACAGGCUUCACUGGUGGAGAGAUGGGCAGCUCAACAGCGAUGGGCUCCACUGGUGGAGAGAUAGGCAGCUCAACCACGAUGGGCUUCACUGGUGGAGAGAAGGGCAGCUCAACCAUGAUGGGUUUCACUGGUGGAGAGAUGGGCAGCUCAACCAUGAUGGGUUUCACUGGUGGAGAGAUGGGCAGCUCAACCACAAUGGGCUUCACUGGUGGAGAAAUGGGCAGCUCAACCACAACGGGCUUCAGUGGUGGAGGGAUCGGCGACUCAACCACGAUGGGCUUCGCUGGUGGAGAGAUGGGAAGCUCGACCAUGAUGGGCUUCACUGGUGGAGAGAUGGGCCGUUCAACCACGACGGGUUUCACUGGUGGAGAGGUGGGCAGCUCAACCAUGAUGGGCUUCACAGGUGGAGAAAUGGGCAGCUCAACAAAAAUGGGAUUCACAGGUGGAGAGAUGGGCAGCUCAACCACAAUGGGCUCCACUGGUGGAGAUAUGGGCAGCUCAACCACAAUGGGCUUCACUGGUGGAGAGUUGGGCAGCUCAACCACAAUGGGCUUCACAAGUGGAGAAAUGGGCAGCUCAACAAAAAUGGGAUUCACUGGUGGAGAGAUGGGCAGCUCAACCACAAUGGACUUCACUGGUGGAGAGUUGGGCAGCUCCAUCACGAUGAUAUUAACUGGUGGAGAGAUGUGCUCCUCAACCCCGAUGGGCUCCACUGGAGGUGUAGGGAAGACAUUCUGGGCCCUUUGACAUCUCUGAGUUGUAGGUGGAGGGAAAUAAUCCGAUAGGGAGGGAGGAGGCAGGGUAGUUCUGGCCUGUGGAACUGAAGUUUCCAUGUCUUUCUUUCUUUUUUUAUGUCGCUG